rnacentral:rRNA from 1 species
GACGACGCUGGCGGCGUGCCUAAUACAUGCAAGUAGGACGAGUUGAGAACGGGUGCGUAACGCGUGGUCACCUGCCUAUUAGAGGGGGAUAACUAUUGGAAACGGUAGCUAAUACCGCAUACCAUCGGAAGUGACCCGAGGGGAUUAGCUAGUAGGAGGGGUAAAGGCUCACCUGGGCGACGAUCACUAGAUGGUAUGCUAGGAUGACCAGCCAUACUGUAAGUGAGACACGGUCCAGACUCCUACGGGAGGCAGCAGUGGGUAAUAUUGCACAAUGGGCGCAAGCCUGAUGCAGCCAUGCCGCGUGUAUGAAGAAGGCCUUCGGGUUGUAAAGUACGUUCAGCGGGGAGGCGUUACCCGCAGAAGAAGCACCGGCUAACUCCGUGCCAGCAGCGGCGGUAAUAC